rnacentral:rRNA from 1 species
UGAAAUCCCGGGGCUCAACCUCGGAAUUGCCUUUGAUACUGGGUGUCUUGAGUAUGAGAGAGGUGUGUGGAACUCCGAGUGUAGAGGUGAAAUUCGUAGAUAUUCGGAAGAACACCAGUGGCGAAGGCGACACACUGGCUCAUUACUGACGCUGAGGCUCGAAAGCGUGGGGAGCAAACAGGAUUAGAUACCCUGGUAGUCCACGCCGUAAACGAUGAUUGCUAGUUGUCGGGAUGCAUGCAUUUCGGUGACGCAGCUAACGCAUUAAGCAAUCCGCCUGGGGAGUACGGUCGCAAGAUUAAAACUCAAAUGAAUUGACGGGA